rnacentral:lncRNA from 1 species
UUUCGUUGGAUGCAUAUAUGCGUCGAUAGUACUCAAAGGGUUAAUUAAGAGCAUUAGUCUGUUCCAGUUACAAGUGUCAUCCUGUAAAUCAAAGAAUUUUACCAGAGACAAAUUUUGUUAUGUGAGAGAGAGAAAAAUACGUCGUUCAAAAUGAUAUUCAAGAAAGAAAUGAUUUUUAUAUUUGCAAAAGCGGUUAAAAGAGAAAGAGAGAGAGAAAGAGGAGGAGUUUCGCGGUCUAGCCACAGGAAGUACUUUACAUGCAAAUGAAAAUUACGGGAUGCUGGCUAUCUCUUGGUCGAUUGGUCGCCGCCUUCGGCGUGCAACGCAUUGCAGUCCGCACCUCUGCGUGGCUAUGCUAUUACAAAAAGAGAGAAAGAGAGAAAGAGAUGGAUCGUUAGACUCGAGGACGAUCGAGAAACGUCUAUUAAGUUCAUUAGACUAUCACGAGCAGAAGAUACAAAACUUGUUUUUGCAACAUACUCCUCGAGAUUUGUUCUUCUUCGUUGUCUUCAAAUGAGCUUCAAAGAAGCGUAAAAAUUGGACACCCCUGGAUUAUUAAAUCGAGGCGUCAAGAAGAAACUUAAAAAACGUCGCUAAGCAUCUAACCUUGCUCGUUAGCCUCUAGCUCGUAGGACUAACGUAGGACACCCUAUAGAUAUCAUCGGACGGAAGGACAGUCUCUCUCUCUCUCGCGCGCGCGCACGCACGCACGCACACACAUCCAUGUAACAUAUAUAAAUACAUAUAGAUAUAUACACACACCUAUGAUAGGUGGAUGGAUGAAUAUAAUGGCGUGCGCUAUGGAUGCAAGAGAAGCUCUAUAGGAGACGACGAGGAAGACGACGAGGACGAACGUGGAUCCAUAAGAGGGACGGGUAUCGGAGGAUAGGAAGACAAGAGGAUAGAGGAACCGCAGAGGCUACAAGGUCAACGACCUCGCCUACGUUCGCGACUAACUACUUCUUCUUCGAACCCUCUUAAGACAUAUAUUGAGGACCGACUAUCGCGAGAAAUUUAUCCAGUCUUUCCUGGUUUACCUAUUCUUCUUACAGGG